rnacentral:lncRNA from 1 species
UGGCGUCCCUAUAGUGACGGGGAUUUUAACUUGUCCAACCGGCGUCAGGGAUCCUCCCGUGAACCCGAAUAUCGGAGUAGUGACAGGGAAGAUUGGGAGGUCAAGCUCCAUUUGCAGGAAACAUUCGUAGGAUAUAACAUCCACCGAACUUCCUGGAUCAACGAAGGCGCGAGCGACAUCGUACCCCCCAACGUUAAUCGUGAUGAGGAGAGGGUCACAAUGGAAAUCCUCUAGGUCCGCUUCAUCUUCCGGACCAAACGAGAUAGUGGGAUAUUGACGAUACUUCGGUGUCGAGAUUUGGCAAACCUCAUGAUUAUUUUUGAGGCUACCGAGGUGGCGUCUCCUAGCCCGGUGAGUAUCUCCUCCCGUAGGACCCCCCGAAAUCAUCUGAAUGUACCCUCUUUUCGGUGCUGGUGGUGGUGGCGGUGCUCGUGGCGGGUUCCCAAACUGGGCUUCACGCUUUUGUCCCCGAGGUGAAUCUAUCUUCACAAAAUCCCCGAUUUUGUUAUCUCUAAUGAGACGUUCCACUUCGUCCUUCAGAUGUGCGCAAUCGUCGGUCGUAUGUCCAUAUUCAUUAUGAAAACGGCAAAAAGUACCCAACGUUGGAUCUCGACGGGGGGCUCCGCGAGCAGUUCGAGGCCAUCGUAGAUCAGCCCUCUUCUCAAUCGCGCACAACACCUGGGACAGAGGAGCCGUAAGGGGCUGAUAUGAUUGAAAACGAGAUCCCUUAGCAUCCGGGACAAUACUCCGACUAGGGGCAUUGGCAUCCCUGCGAGGUAACAUGAGCUCCCUGCCUUUCUUUACUUCGCUGACUCGUGCAUUUGCGACUUGGUGAGAUUCUUCCAUUUUCUGUUGGCGGGCCUCUUCUAAAUUGAUGAACCUAGAUGCCCUUUCUAAUAGGUUAUCGAAAUCAGGGGACGGCUCCAGCGCCAAAGCUCGGAAAAACUCAUCAUCUCUCAGUCCUUGAGAAAGAGCUGCCAUGAGUACCUCAUCACUGGUGGUCGGGACUUCCAGGGUGGCCGAGGUGAACCGUUUGAUGUAACUCCUGAGGCUUUCUUUCUCCUUUUGGCGAAUGCUAAAUAGUGACAGGGAGGUUUUUUUGCACUUCUUUGAGCUGGCGAACUGGUUCAUGAAAGCCUUGGCAAAUUGCUCGAAAGAUUGUACGCUCCCGGAAGGCAGCAAACCGAACCAGGCCUGAGCAGAUCCGGCUAGAGUGGUAGCGAAGGCACGACAUCUCACCCCUUCUGUGAGCUGAUGAAGCGAUGCUGUAUUGUUGAAACGGCUUAGGUGCUCGGCGGGAUCCGAUGUGCCAUUGUACUCGAACGAAAUGGGUCGGUAGCUAGCUGGUAUGGGGUCAUCAUCAAGGUGUUUUGCGAAAGGGCUAGAUCCCACGAGAUCUCGCGCUGGCCUGUUCCGUAAGGCCUUUAAUUCAUCCAUAUCGCGUCUCAGGCUGUCUACCUCGGUCCUGACUCUAUGACUAUCGCCUCUUCGAUUUUCCGAAUAACUGUCGCCUUCGUCAUCAGCUCGUCCCUCGUUCGGGGAAUGUCUGGGAUCCCUCCUGAGUCGGUUAUCGUGAGGUAAACUUUGGGUGUAGUUUCUGAUGGCCGCGGUGAUCAUGGUUUCCACCUCGUCUCGGGUAUACGUGCGCUCAUUGGGAGCCUGAGCGGGGGUUGUGGCUGGCCUUCUCGAAGCAGCUUCGCCAUCCUGGAACUCGAAAGAGGGGCUGCUUGGAGCGAAGGGGAUCCGGCCCUCCUUUUCAGGUGUAAGGAAGCUACACCCCGAUUUAUCUUUCUGAACGGAUGAUGGGUCAACCGGUGCACCACGGGCUACCGCAUCCAAAUCCUUCUGCAGAUUCCGGGCGACUGCAUCUUCUCCGUCCAUUCUUUCUCCACGUUCUCAGCUCAGAUCCGGACUUCCGGGGGUAGAUCUGAUUUUUCCCGGAAGCUGUUUUCCCAAAACUUCAGGACUUUCCCACAGACGGCGCCACUUGAUUUAGUCCGUAGGUCUUCGUCUUCCUCAAGCCAGCUCCGCUCGUACUCCGGGUGAAUAAACCUGCAACGCCGGGAGGGGUUCCCGGCGGGAAAGCUCCGACGAUCAAGUCAGUGAUCGGAAAUAGAAAAAUGUAUAUGCAAUGUAAUAGUGAUUAGUGUAAAAAUCUCAUCCCUUUGUGUGUGUGUUGAUUCUCUUAUUUAUAGAUGAGGAAAGCUUGGCCUCCAAGGCUUUCCUUUUUUAGGGUUUCUCUUUUCCCCCAAGUCAUGUAUCUUGGGCCUGUAUUGUCCUGGGCUCGCCUUACCUCGUUUUGAUAUUGGGCUAGCGAGUUAAGGUACUCCCAAGUAGUUCCGGGGUUCGCACCAUACGACGACUUCGCUCGCGGUACCGAGCUAAGACAUCAUGGGUUCUUCAUUAUGGGCCUAUCGUAUUGGGCUUACUCUAAUGGGCUUAUGUUUAUUUAUUAAUAGUGACAGGGAAGAUUGGGAGGUCAAGCUCCAUUUGCAGGAAACAUUCGUAGGAUAUAACAUCCACCGAACUUCCUGGAUCAACGAAGGCGCGAGCGACAUCGUACCCCCCAACGUUAAUCGUGAUGAGGAGAGGGUCACAAUGGAAAUCCUCUA